CACCAACGCCGACAACCCGUUUGGAGAUAACAACCUGCUCGGCACCUUCAAAUGGCAGAAGGCUCUGCAGAAGAAAGGCAUCGGGCAUUUGU